AAGGAUCAUUAUUGAAUAAACUUGGUAGGUUGUAGCUGGCUUUUCGAAGCAUGUGCACGCCCACCAUCUUUAUCUAUCCACCUGUCCACCCUUUGUAGUCUUGGAGGACAAGAGCGGCUGACUCCUCGAACGGCUUCUUCUAGCCUUUCGGAUAUGAGGGAUGCUGUGCGAAAGCACGGCUCUCCUCAAUGGCUUGCAAUUUUCUCUAGGUCUAUGUCUUUUCCAUAUACCACAUAGUAUGUUGUAGAAUGCAUUAUAUGGGCCCAUGUGCCUAUAAAACUCAAUACAACUUUCAGCAACGGAUCUCUUGGCUCUC
rnacentral:misc_RNA from 1 species